rnacentral:rRNA from 1 species
UUUUUAGAGAUUGUGGAAAAUGUUUUGUUAGAUAAUAAUACCUUUUGCAUCAUGAUUAUCAGAUAAUUUUCAUUAUUGAUCUUUCUGAAAUUGUGUGAUUUUCAUUUUUUUAGUUUGGAACAUUUAUUUUAUGUGUAAUAAUUGUUUUAAAGAAUAGUGAGGAUGUGAGAAGCAAGACAUACACAGUUAUAUCCGAUUAAGGGUUUUAUUUAUUUUUGAUUACACUUUGAGUUAUAAGAUUUAGGGUGUGCUUGUAUUUUGGCUUUAAUUGUAUUUAGUUAGGAUGAGAAGUGUCUUCAGUUAAUUUUAUGUGUUAUAACAUUUUUAUUUAUUGCUUUAAAUCUAUUUUAUUUCCCCUUGUUAUUAAUUAGUUUUAUUAUUAUUAUUGGUUAAUUAGUAAGCUUAAUUGGUUUUUUUUUUCUUGAUUUUAUUCUGACUGUUUAUCAAAAACAUUUCUUCUUUUUAUUAAGAAGUAGUCCCUGCUCAAUGAUAAGUUAAAUAGCCGCAUUAGCCUGAGUGUGUUAAGGUAGCAUAAUUGCUAGCCCUCUAAUUGGGGGAUUGUUUGAAAGGGUUAACAAGAGUAUAAGUUUAGAAGAGAUCAUUUACUGAAUUUGAAUUGUUAGUAAAGAUUCUAACACUAUUGUUUGGGACGGGAAGACCCUAGGAGGUUUAUAUAGUCAUAUUUGGUUGGGACAAUUAUAAAUUUUUUAUUUUUGUUAAGAUCCUUUUUAAAGAAUUCGAUAAAAGCUACCCUAGGGAUAACAGAGUAAGAAGUGAGAAGAGUUCAAAUCGUUUCAUUUAAUUGCUACCUCGAUGUUGACUUAAGAGAAAGUUCUAUGCUGUAGAGGGUGUAUUAACAGGUCUGUUCGACCUUUAAAUUCUUUCAUGAGUUGAGUUAAGACCGAUGUAAAUCAGGUUGGUUCCUAUCUAAAAGUGAUAUAAUUUAGUACGAAAGGAUUGAUUAUUGUUUAAAAU